GCUGUGAGCAUUGCUCUGAUGCUGAUGAGCCGACUUCUUUCCAGGCCUUCGUUGUCUGUAAUCUCGUCCUGCCAUUUGAUGUUGAGUGUGAUUGGUGGAAGAAAGAAACCAUUGGAGGCAGUGUUGCCAGGCUAUGAAAUCUCUAGAAAAAGACUCCAUAGGAAUGGUGAGACCUGAAAAAUGUCCACCACUGCUGAGACUUGCCAUCGCCUGAUAAAUUUCAAACUUUUGUUAGAGAUGAAGCCAAAACAUUGUCCAAAUAACCCAGCUGGCUGAAGAAUAAAGAUAUAUGCAAGCAACUUUGUAUCAUUGAAGUAGCCCUCCCUGCUUGGUUGGCUCUACAGGACACUCUCGAUUCUUUUACGACCAUGAUAGAAGAUGCCAGAAGAAAACAUCGAGACUGGUUUAAUCAUUACUCUGAGAUCAAAGAACUACUCGCAGCAUAACAAGCAAUGCAUCUUCAAACCCUUAGAGACCCUCAAAGACCCUGACCAAACAGAUGCUUAUCAAAACUUAAAUCCCGGAAAACAGGACAACUUAAAAAUAACACGUGCCAAAACGUGAGACAUCAAGGCUAAAGAAAUACAGCGCCAAAGAGACUGAAACCAAACCAAGGACUCCUACACAUUAUACAUCCCUGAAAUGUAUACGGACAUAUCAUCCAUAUUGCCACAGCGCUACUGAAGAGUAGAGAUGGCUCCAUCUUUAUCACGAAGAGGGAAUCGGAAAGGACUAUUAACAACACUUCAGUGACCUCCUCGACACAUCUUCCCUCUGCAGAGAAUAGGUGGCCUGCCAACACGUGAAGAUAUGGGUCUCGUUCCAACAUUUCAAGAAGUUACCAAAACAGAAAUAGCACCAGGCAAAAAUAGCACUAGGCAACAGAUGCAAGAGUUCAACAAGGGGCCAUCUCUGCCUGCACAAGAUGCGGAAGAGAUUGUCAUUCAUUAGUCUUACCAGCCGCUCUCACAAAAAAAAUACAAUUUUCACACCGUCCUAGAAGCCGAAAUGUUGCGGGGCGGGAGGACGGUGUGUGUGUGUGUACACUGAGCACUAAUUCUGAGUACUGGAGAGAUAAAGAAGGAGAGACUGUUAACAAGGAGUAUUAGAAGCCCAAGGAAAAUGUUUGCCCAGAACUACAACAACAGUGAAAAUGGUAGGUAUGCCCCAGACCAAAAUAAAAUUAGAAGCACUCUCCCAGAGAUCAUACAGAGCAUAAGGUAUUUUGGGUAUCCUUCAAGACACUUUGCUAAUUCAAACUAGCUCCAACAGUGCUGUUAAUGAAUUGAGUAAUGAAUGCAGUUCAGCACUUGGCAAAUAAAGUACUAGAAAUGCAUAAAAAUUA